CUCCAGUGAUGAAAGAAAUGGUAUAUUUUGUCACAUAUGAUAAAUCUGUGAUUACUUGCAUACCACUACUGCCUUCCUUCUGAGGCU
rnacentral:snoRNA from 1 species